GCUGGCCAAGGUCUCUGCUGCGCAUAAAUGGGGCUCUGGGACUGUGCAGCAGCAGGGCGCCACCGCACAGCAGAGGAGUCCUCCGCCCUUCUCCCUGGCCACCAAGGAUCCAGCAACCGGGAGUCUGGACCAGGUGGAAAAGCACAAGGAGUGACCUUUCUUUGCACACAGGUGGAUGACUGUGGGUCUGACACUGGAGGAGACCAAGUGCCAGCCAGGGGUGUGUCCUGGUGCUGGGUGCAGAUUUUGCUGCUUUCCGACACCCUUAUGAUAUUUGGAAAGAAUGGGCAUGCCUUGACUUUUCUCAUCAGACGUCAGUAAGACGGGGGCUGGGGGUGUGGCUUGGCAGGGGAGCUCUGCUCCGCAUGAGUGAGGCCCUGGGUUCCAUCCCCAGCAUCCAAACACAAAGCAAGCGAGCGGAAACGUCAGUAAAGCGGAUUUCACUGGAACUCAUCAGUGUGGCCAACUGACAAAAAAUAAAGGUCCAGAGCGAGA